rnacentral:rRNA from 1 species
AUUGAACGCUGGCGGCAUGCCUUACACAUGCAAGUCGAACGGUAACAGGUCUUCGGAUGCUGACGAGUGGCGAACGGGUGAGUAAUACAUCGGAACGUGCCUAGUAGUGGGGGAUAACUACUCGAAAGAGUGGCUAAUACCGCAUGAGAUCUACGGAUGAAAGCAGGGGAUCGCAAGACCUUGUGCUACUAGAGCGGCCGAUGGCAGAUUAGGUAGUUGGUGGGAUAAAAGCUUACCAAGCCGACGAUCUGUAGCUGGUCUGAGAGGACGAUCAGCCACAAUGGGACUGGGACACGGCCCAGACUCCUACGGGAGGCAGCAGUGGGGAAUUUUGGACAAUGGGCGAAAGCCUGAUCCAGCAAUGCCGCGUGCAGGAUGAAGGCCUUCGGGUUGUAAACUGCUUUUGUACGGAACGAAAAGCCCCGGGUUAAUACCCUGGGGUCAUGACGGUACCGUAAGAAUAAGCACCGGCUAACUACGUGCCAGCCGCCGCCGCGG